UGAGGAAUAUUGCGCAAUGGGGGCAACCCUGACGCAGCAACGCCGCGUGAGUGAGGAAGGUUUUCGGACCGUAAAGCUCUGUCGAGCGGGAAGAAAUGCAUGGUAGCUAAUAUCCAUCAUGCUUGACGGUACCGCUAAAGGAGGCACCGGCUAACUCCGUGCCAGCAGCCGCGGUAAUACGGGGGGUGCGAGCGUUGUUCGGAAUUAUUGGGCGUAAAGAGCGUGUAGGCGGCCGAAUAAGUCAGAUGUGAAAUCCCUGGGCUUAACCCAGGACGUGCAUUUGAAACUAUUCGGCUGGAGUAGGGGAGAGGAAAGUGGAAUUCCUGGUGUAGAGGUGAAAUUCGUAGAUAUCAGGAGGAACACCGGUGGCGAAGGCGACUUUCUAGCCCUAUACUGACGCUGAGACGCGAGAGCGUGGGUAGCAAACAG
rnacentral:rRNA from 1 species